rnacentral:rRNA from 1 species
CGUCGAUGAAGAGUGCAGCCAACUGUGUGAAUUACUGUGAACUGCUACUGCUUUGAUCAUCGACAACUUGAACGCAUAUUGCGGCCACGGGUUAGCCUGUGGCCACGCCUGUCCGAGGGUCG